rnacentral:rRNA from 1 species
GGGUUGUGAGGUUAAGCGACUAAGCGUACACGGUGGAUGCCCUGGCAGUCAGAGGCGAUGAAGGACGUGCUAAUCUGCGAUAAGCGUCGGUAAGGUGAUAUGAACCGUUAUAACCGGCGAUUUCCGAAUGGGGAAACCCAGUGUGUUUCGACACACUAUCAUUAACUGAAUCCAUAGGUUAAUGAGGCGAACCGGGGGAACUGAAACAUCUAAGUACCCCGAGGAAAAGAAAUCAACCGAGAUUCCCCCAGUAGCGGCGAGCGAACGGGGAGCAGCCCAGAGCCUGAAUCAGUGUGUGUGUUAGUGGAAGCGUCUGGAAAGGCGCGCGAUACAGGGUGACAGCCCCGUACACAAAAAUGCACAUGCUGUGAGCUCGAUGAGUAGGGCGGGACACGUGGUAUCCUGUCUGAAUAUGGGGGGACCAUCCUCCAAGGCUAAAUACUCCUGACUGACCGAUAGUGAACCAGUACCGUGAGGGAAAGGCGAAAAGAACCCCGGCGAGGGGAGUGAAAAAGAACCUGAAACCGUGUACGUACAAGCAGUGGGAGCCUCUUUAUGGGGUGACUGCGUACCUUUUGUAUAAUGGGUCAGCGACUUAUAUUCUGUAGCAAGGUUAACCGAAUAGGGGAGCCGAAGGGAAACCGAGUCUUAACUGGGCGUUAAGUUGCAGGGUAUAGACCCGAAACCCGGUGAUCUAGCCAUGGGCAGGUUGAAGGUUGGGUAACACUAACUGGAGGACCGAACCGACUAAUGUUGAAAAAUUAGCGGAUGACUUGUGGCUGGGGGUGAAAGGCCAAUCAAACCGGGAGAUAGCUGGUUCUCCCCGAAAGCUAUUUAGGUAGCGCCUCGUGAAUUCAUCUCCGGGGGUAGAGCACUGUUUCGGCAAGGGGGUCAUCCCGACUUACCAACCCGAUGCAAACUGCGAAUACCGGAGAAUGUUAUCACGGGAGACACACGGCGGGUGCUAACGUCCGUCGUGAAGAGGGAAACAACCCAGACCGCCAGCUAAGGUCCCAAAGUCAUGGUUAAGUGGGAAACGAUGUGGGAAGGCCCAGACAGCCAGGAUGUUGGCUUAGAAGCAGCCAUCAUUUAAAGAAAGCGUAAUAGCUCACUGGUCGAGUCGGCCUGCGCGGAAGAUGUAACGGGGCUAAACCAUGCACCGAAGCUGCGGCAGCGACGCUUAUGCGUUGUUGGGUAGGGGAGCGUUCUGUAAGCCUGUGAAGGUGUGCUGUGAGGCAUGCUGGAGGUAUCAGAAGUGCGAAUGCUGACAUAAGUAACGAUAAAGCGGGUGAAAAGCCCGCUCGCCGGAAGACCAAGGGUUCCUGUCCAACGUUAAUCGGGGCAGGGUGAGUCGACCCCUAAGGCGAGGCCGAAAGGCGUAGUCGAUGGGAAACAGGUUAAUAUUCCUGUACUUGGUGUUACUGCGAAGGGGGGACGGAGAAGGCUAUGUUGGCCGGGCGACGGUUGUCCCGGUUUAAGCGUGUAGGCUGGUUUUCCAGGCAAAUCCGGAAAAUCAAGGCUGAGGCGUGAUGACGAGGCACUACGGUGCUGAAGCAACAAAUGCCCUGCUUCCAGGAAAAGCCUCUAAGCAUCAGGUAACAUCAAAUCGUACCCCAAACCGACACAGGUGGUCAGGUAGAGAAUACCAAGGCGCUUGAGAGAACUCGGGUGAAGGAACUAGGCAAAAUGGUGCCGUAACUUCGGGAGAAGGCACGCUGAUAUGUAGGUGAAGUCCCUCGCGGAUGGAGCUGAAAUCAGUCGAAGAUACCAGCUGGCUGCAACUGUUUAUUAAAAACACAGCACUGUGCAAACACGAAAGUGGACGUAUACGGUGUGACGCCUGCCCGGUGCCGGAAGGUUAAUUGAUGGGGUCAGCGCAAGCGAAGCUCUUGAUCGAAGCCCCGGUAAACGGCGGCCGUAACUAUAACGGUCCUAAGGUAGCGAAAUUCCUUGUCGGGUAAGUUCCGACCUGCACGAAUGGCGUAAUGAUGGCCAGGCUGUCUCCACCCGAGACUCAGUGAAAUUGAACUCGCUGUGAAGAUGCAGUGUACCCGCGGCAAGACGGAAAGACCCCGUGAACCUUUACUAUAGCUUGACACUGAACAUUGAGCCUUGAUGUGUAGGAUAGGUGGGAGGCUUUGAAGUGUGGACGCCAGUCUGCAUGGAGCCGACCUUGAAAUACCACCCUUUAAUGUUUGAUGUUCUAACGUUGACCCGUAAUCCGGGUUGCGGACAGUGUCUGGUGGGUAGUUUGACUGGGGCGGUCUCCUCCUAAAGAGUAACGGAGGAGCACGAAGGUUGGCUAAUCCUGGUCGGACAUCAGGAGGUUAGUGCAAUGGCAUAAGCCAGCUUGACUGCGAGCGUGACGGCGCGAGCAGGUGCGAAAGCAGGUCAUAGUGAUCCGGUGGUUCUGAAUGGAAGGGCCAUCGCUCAACGGAUAAAAGGUACUCCGGGGAUAACAGGCUGAUACCGCCCAAGAGUUCAUAUCGACGGCGGUGUUUGGCACCUCGAUGUCGGCUCAUCACAUCCUGGGGCUGAAGUAGGUCCCAAGGGUAUGGCUGUUCGCCAUUUAAAGUGGUACGCGAGCUGGGUUUAGAACGUCGUGAGACAGUUCGGUCCCUAUCUGCCGUGGGCGCUGGAGAACUGAGGGGGGCUGCUCCUAGUACGAGAGGACCGGAGUGGACGCAUCACUGGUGUUCGGGUUGUCAUGCCAAUGGCACUGCCCGGUAGCUAAAUGCGGAAGAGAUAAGUGCUGAAAGCAUCUAAGCACGAAACUUGCCCCGAGAUGAGUUCUCCCUGACCCUUUAAGGGUCCUGAAGGAACGUUGAAGACGACGACGUUGAUAGGCCGGGUGUGUAAGCGCAGCGAUGCGUUGAGCUAACCGGUACUAAUGAACCGUGAGGCUUAACCUUACAACGCCGAAGCUGUU